rnacentral:rRNA from 1 species
UGGGGAAUAUUGGACAAUGGGCGAAAGCCUGAUCCAGCCAUGCCGCGUGAGUGACGAAGGCCUUAGGGUUGUAAAAUCCUUUCGCCGAGGACGAUAAUGACGGUACUCGGAGAAGAAGCUCCGGCUAACUUCGUGCCAGCAGCCGCGGUAAUACGAAGGGGGCUAGCGUUGUUCGGAUUUACUGGGCGUAAAGCGCGUGUAGGCGGGUCGUUAAGUUGGGGGUGAAAUCCCGAGGCUCAACCUCGGAACUGCCUUCAAAACUGGCGACCUGGACCUAAGUAGAGGCAAGUGGAAUUGCGAGUGUAGAGGUGAAAUUCGUAGAUAUUCGCAGGAACACCAGUGGCGAAGGCGACUUGCUGGACUUAUGGUGACGCUGAGACGCGAAAGCGUGGGGAGCAAACAGGAUUAGAUACCCCUGUAGUCCCUGAGCGGGCUGGCAAGGCGCAU